AAUUUUUGUUGGUCACAACUAGGAAAUUGCUGUUGAUAUCUAGUGGGUAGAGGCCAGAGAUGCUGCUAAGCAUCCUACAAGGUACACAACAGACCCCAACCACAAAGAAGUGUCAGGUCCGAAAUGUCACUAGUGCCUAGUGUAUCCAACAGUUAAGAGCACACAGGCCUAAGGGACAGACCUGGUGCCACUGGCCAACUAAGCAGCCUUGGCCUUGUUCCCUAAGCUCUGCAAACCCCAGUCUCCAAGCAUCAAAUGGGAAUGAUAAUGAUAUCUGACCUCAGAGUUGGUGUGUGGAACAUAAACAGAGUCACACAGCUCAGGUCCUUGAGCACACAAGCAGGUGCUCAGUGAGUGUCAGGCUUUAUUUUUGGGUAAUCCAAAGCUGUCUGCAAGGGGAACUCCACUUUGCUCUGUCUGAGCUACAGAGACCUUGUUUUCACAGAUCAGGGCAUCAUGACCCCAGGUUCUCCAUUUGGCUGUGCCCCUGACUUCUCCUCUCUAUUACCUUUGCUCAGUGCUAGGGAUACUCAUGCAAGCGUGCAGGUGGAAGCCUACCAGGGGCGAGAAGUACACAGAGAAAUCUCCACCCUGCUGAAGAAAGCAGCAGCAUUACCACGCAAGAGCUCCAGAGAAACCUCUUUUCUCAGAACUGCUGGCUCAGCGGAGCAAAGGUGACAUCGCUUGGGGCAUCUCUAUAAAAUGCAAGGUCAGCCCAGUGGGGAACGAAGGUAGUCCUAGCAGAGUGUGCCUGGCCCAACAAUCUCAAAUUAUACUGCCUUUUCUGGACCUCAGUUUUCCCUUGUUUCUCUGCCUCCUGGAGGAGCUGAGAAACCAGGUGUAGCUCUCUGAACUCAAGCCUCUGAUCUUGUCUGGAGCCAGCUCCUUAGGAAGAAUCCAUCAGUGCAGAUCCCCACUGUGGCCGCCAUAAACCUCCUGCCUAAGAAUCACAUUGACCUACAUGAUUCAUGCACUCAGUGCAAGCGAAAAGAAGGUGCUCUGUGUCCUGGGGUGACAGGGCAGAAAAGAAGGACAGCCUCUUAAACACCCACUUAAAGAGAGCUUGAUCCUGAGGCUGGAUGUGUGCUCCGACUCUGCAACAUAAAGAAAUGCAUAACAGGCCAGGCCCAGUGGCUCACGCCUGUAAUCCUGCACUUUGAGAGGUUGAGGCGGGCGGAUCAUGAGAUCAGGAGUUCAAGACCAGCUUGGCCAACAUGGUGAAACCCUGUCUCUACUAAAAGUAAAAAAAUUAGCCAGGUGUGGUGGCGCACGCCUGUAAUCCCAGCUACUCGGGAGCCUGAGGCAGAAUCGUUGGAACCCGGGAGGCAGAGGUUGCAGUGAGCCGAGAUUGCGCCACCGCACUCCAGCCUGGGCAACAGAGCAAGACUCCAUCUCAAAAAAAAAAAAAAAAAAAGAAAAGAAAAGAAAAGAAAUGCAUAACAGGUACAUGUAACAGGAGGGGUGAAUCUCAGCACCAUUAUUCAGAGUAAAAUAAUUAAUAAUUGCUGGACAAGAAAGUGUACUUGCUGUGUGACUUAUUUAUAUAAAAUUCUAGAAAGUGAAGACUAAUCUAUAGUGACCAAUAGCAGUGAUUGUCUUGGGGGAGGGAUUACAAGGGGUCCAAGAAAUCUGGGAAGUGAAGGAGAUGCUCACUGUCUUAAUUGUGAUGAUGGUUUUGAUGGGAUUCAGGACUACCAAAAUAUGGCACUGUAACUGAGGGGUGAAGCCAGCUGGACUUCCUGGGUCGAGUGGGGACUUGGAGAACUUUUCUGUCUAGCUAAAGGAUUGUAAACACAGCAAUCAGCGCUCUGGGUCUAGCUAAAGAUUUGCAAAUGCACCAAUCAGCACUCUAUAAAAACACACCAAUCAGCACUCUGUGUCUAGCUAACAGCUUGUAAACGCACCAAUCAGCACUCUGUAAAAACGGGCCAAUCAACACUCUGCCAAAUAGACCGAUCAGCACUCUGUAAAAUGGACCAAUCAGCAGGAUGUGGGCGGGGCCAAAUAAGGGACUAAAAGCUGGCCACCCAACUCAGCAGCAGCAGCUAGUUGGGGUUCACUUCCAUGCUGUGCAAGCUUUGUUCUUUUGCUCUUCACAGAAAAUCUUGCUGCUGCUCACUCUUUGGGUCCGUACUACCUUUAUGAGCUAUUAACACUCACUGCGAAGGUCUGCAGCUUCACUCCUGAAGUCAGCAAGAUCACAAACCCACUGGGAGGAAGAAACUCCGGACACAUCUGAACAUCUGAAGGAACAAACUCUGGACACACCAUCUUUAAGAACUGUAACACUCACCGCGAGGGUCUGUGGCUUCAUUCUUGAAGUCAGUGAGACCAAGAACCCACCAGAAGGAAUAAAUUCCAGACACAUAACCACCCAACAGGUUCCCCCUGCCCAUUGCCUAGACAGUGCCAAUUUAUCAAGACAGAGGAAUUGCAAUAGAGAAAGAGUAAUUCACGCAGAGCCAGCUGUGCAGGAGACCAGAGUUUUAUUAUUACUGAAAUCAGUCUCCCCAAGCAUUUGGGGAUAGGAGUUUUAAGGAUAAGUUGGUGGGCUGUGGGCAGCCAGUGACUCAGGAGUGCUGAUUGGUUGGAUGCGAGAGGAAGUCGUAGGGAGUCUAAGCUGUCUUCUUGUGCUGAGUCAGUUCCUGGGUGGGGGCCAAGAGAUUGGAUGAGCCAGUUUAUCGAUCUGGAUGGCACCAGCUGAUCCAUCAAGUGCAGAGACUGCAAAAUAUUUUAAACAGUGAUCUUAGGUUUUACAAUAGCGAUGUUAUCUCCAGGUGCAAUUUGGGAAGGGUCAAAAUCUUGUAGCCUCCAGCUACAUGACUCCUAAACCAUAAUUUCUAAUCUUUGGGCUAGUUCGUUAGUCCUACAAAAGCAGUCUAGUCCCCAGACAAGAAGGGGGUUUGCCUUGGGAAAGGCCUGUUACCAUCUUUGUUUUAAACUAUAAACUAAGUUCCUCUCGAAGUUAGUUCAGCCUACACCCAGGAAUGAACAAGGACAGGUUGAAGGUUAGAAGCAAGUUGGAGUUGGUUAGGUCAGGUCUCUUUCACUGUCUCAGUUACAAUUUUGCAAUGGCGGUUUCAGUACAUUGGCAUAUUGAAUUAUGUUAAGCUGAAAGAAUUUCAGAAAAUAGUCCCAUUUCCUUUUCUCCACCCGUCUCUCCUGAAGCAAGUCAUUGUAAGGUCAGCUGAGAGAAAGGAAGAAUAGACCCAAAGUCAGGCGAGUAAGUUUAUUGAACCUGCCGGCUGCUCCAUCACACUCAGAGGAAGCAGCCCUGAGCUUACAAAGUGAGGAGUUUAUAUUGAGGAGGGGUGUUUGAAGGAGUUCUUUGGUAUGGCCACAUUCCGGGGUUGUUUGCUGUUUAAUUUUGUCACAUAUCACUUUGUGACGUUUAUGGUAGCAACUAGAUGAACAGCAGGAAUUUACAGGUGUAGGUAAAGUUUGUUUAUGCUUCCCACGACCUCCCCCGUGCGGUCCGGGUGGUUUGUAAUUGGGGUUUGCUUAUCGCAGCAAGCCCUGAUAGGUGAAGUCUGCUGGCUUCACCCUGGCGCCUGGUGCCUAGAUAAGGGCUUAGAAAUGUAAAGGGGCUCAGGGGGAAGGGUGGACGGCACAGACAAGAGUUGCAGAGCAUUAGGUGGAGGGGUGGGCAGCAUGGAGAGGUUUGGGGGAAGUGUCAGCAGUACCAAGAAGCUGUUGGGGAAGUUUGUCCUUAACAGUCAUAAAACCUAGGAGGGAUUUUCUGACCUUCCACCAAAGCCGGUCACAAGACACUCACUUGAGAGGUGCCCUUCCUAUACUUGGAGGAAAGGAACAUCCUUAUCUCUGAAAUCAUGGGGUCACAGAGAAGAAUCUGAGCAAACAGGCCUUGCUAAAUCCCUCCCAGUUCAUCACCAGUAGAUCACACCUUUGUUCAAUUAUAUUCCUCCAUGACUGUUCACUCUUCAUCAAAGUUAGCGUAAAAAUAUGCAAGUUUAACUGUUUCUUCUGGUCAUUUCCUUAUGAAGACUCUUGUGUCAUGUAAAACUUACAUAAAAUAAAUUGAAGUCCAGGCGUGGUGGCUCAUGCCUGUAAUUCCAGCACUUUGGGAGGCCAAGGCAGGUGGAUCACCUGAGGUCAGGAGUUCGAGACCAGCCUAGCCAACAUGGUGAAACUCCCGUCUCUACUAAAAAUACAAAAAUUAGCCAGGCGUGGUGGUACACACUUGUAAUCCCAGCUACUCGGGAGGCUGAGGCAGGAGAAUCGCUUGAACCCAGAAGGUGGUGGUUGCAGUGAGCUGAGAUCGCACCACUGCACUCCAGCCUGGGCAACAAGAGCGAAACUCCACCUCAAUAAAAUAAAUAAAGAAAUAAAUUGAUAUGCUUUUUUUUCUAGUCUGCCUUUUAUUAUGGGGCCUCCGCCAUGAACCUAAAAUGGGUAAACAAAAAAUACUUUUCCUCCCCUACAUUUCUAUGAGU
rnacentral:lncRNA from 10 species